rnacentral:tRNA from 1 species
GGAAGGUAGCCAGAUACGGUUCGCUGGGCCGGUUUGCUAAACCGCGCGACGUCAGUUUUGUGGGUUCAAAUCCCAUGCCUUCCGC